UACGGAGGAUGCAAGCGUUAUCCGGACUGAUUGGGCGGACAGGGUCCGCAGGUGGCAGUGUAAGUCUGCUGUCAAAGAAUGAGGCUUAACCUUAUCAAGGCAGUGGAAACUACACAGCUAGAGUACGGUCGGGGUAGAAGGAAUUCCUGGUGUAGCGGUGAAAUGCGUAGAGAUCAGGAAGAACACCGGUGGCGAAAGCGUUCUGCUAGACCUGUACUGACACUGAGGGACGAAAGCUAGGGGAGCGAAUGGG
rnacentral:rRNA from 1 species